rnacentral:rRNA from 1 species
GAUGAACGCUAGCGGCAUGCCUAAGGUAUGCAAGUCGUGCGCAAAAACCACCUUCGGGUGGGUGGGAAAGCGGCGGACGGGUGAGUAACGCGUAGAAACAUACCCCAGAGUGAGGGAUAAUUCCGGGAAACCGGGACUAAUACCGCAUAUUGUCUAAGGACAAAAGAUUUAUCGCUUUGGGAAUGGUCUGCGUCCGAUUAGCUUGUUGGUGAGGUAAAGGCUCACCAAGGCUAUGAUCGGUAGCUGGUUUGAGAGGAUGAUCAGCCACACUGGAACUGAGACACUGUCCAGACCCCUACGGGGGGCGAGCAACUAGGAAUCUUCCACAAUGGGCGAAAGCCUGAUGGAGCAAUGCCGCGUGCAGGAUGAAGGACUUCGGUUCGUAAACUGC